AGGAUGAACGCUGGCGGCGUGCCUAAUACAUGCAAGUCGAGCGGUAAGGCCCCUUCGGGGGUACACGAGCGGCGGACGGCUGAGUAACACGUAGGAACGUACCCCAAACUGAGGGAUAAGCACCAGAAAUGGUGUCUAAUACCGCAUGUGGUCUUCGGAUUAAAGCUUCGGCGGUUUGGGAACGGCCUGCGCAUGAUUAGCUUGUUGGUGAGGUAAAAGCUUACCAAGGCGACGAUCAUUAGCUGGUCUGAGAGGAUGAUCAGCCAGACUGGGACUGAGAACGGCCCAGACUCCUACGGGAGGCAGCAGUAGGGAAUUUUCCACAAUGGGCGAAAGCCUGAUGGAGCAACGCCGCGUGCAGGACGAAGGCCUUCGGGUUGUAAACUGCUUUUAUAUGUGAAGAUUAUGACGGUAGCAUAUGAAUAAAGAUCGGCUAACUCCGCGCCGCAGCCGC
rnacentral:rRNA from 1 species